AACCUACCUUGAACAGGGGGAUAGCCCGGAGAAAUUCGGAUUAAUACCGCAUAAUAUAACGGGGUCAGCAUUGGCCUGUUAUUAAAGAUUUAUUGGUUCAAGAUGGGCAUGCGUGCCAUUAGCUUGUUGGUGAGGUAACGGCUCACCAAGGCAACGAUGGCUAGGGGAUCUGAGAGGACGACCAGCCACACCGGAACUGAGACACGGUCCGGACUCCUACGGGAGGCAGCAGUGGGGAAUAUUGGACAAUGGGGGAAACCCUGAUCCAGCGACGCCGCGUGUGU
rnacentral:rRNA from 1 species